AUUGAACGCUGGCGGCAUGCUUUACACAUGCAAGUCGAACGGGCUGGGGGCAACUCCAGUCAGUGGCGAACGGGUGAGUAAUGCAUCGGAACGUACCCCGUAGUGGGGGAUAACGCCGGGAAACCGGCGCUAAUACCGCAUAUGCUCUACGGAGGAAAGUGGGGGACCGCAAGGCCUCACGCUAUGGGAGCGGCCGAUGUCCGAUUAGCUAGUUGGGGGGGUAAUGGCUUACCAAGGCGACGAUCGGUAGCUGGUCUGAGAGGAUGAUCAGCCACACUGGGACUGAGACACGGCCCAGACUCCUACGGGAGGCAGCAGUGGGGAAUUUUGGACAAUGGGGGCAACCCUGAUCCAGCCAUGCCGCGUGCGGGAAGAAGGCCUUCGGGUUGUAAACCGCUUUUAGCCGGGAAGAAAAGGCCACGGAUAACACCCGUGGUUCUUGACGGUACCGGCGGAAUAAGCACCGGCUAACUACGUGCCAGCCGCCGCCGUAAGAC
rnacentral:rRNA from 1 species